AGACCCGAAACCCGGUGAUCUAGCCAUGGGCAGGUUGAAGGUUGGGUAACACUAACUGGAGGACCGAACCGACUAAUGUUGAAAAAUUAGCGGAUGACCUGUGGCUGGGGGUGAAAGGCCAAUCAAACCGGGAGAUAGCUGGUUCUCCCCGAAAGCUAUUUAGGUAGCGCCUCGUGAAUUCAUCUCCGGGGGUAGAGCACUGUUUCGGCUAGGGGGCCAUCCCGGCUUACCAACCCGAUGCAAACUGCGAAUACCGGAGAAUGUUAUCACGGGAGACACACGGCGGGUGCUAACGUCCGUCGUGAAGAGGGAAACAACCCAGACCGCCAGCUAAGGUCCCAAAGUCAUGGUUAAGUGGGAAACGAUGUGGGAAGGCCCAGACAGCCAGGAUGUUGGCUUAGAAGCAGCCAUCAUUUAAAGAAAGCGUAAUAGCUCACUGGUCGAGUCGGCCUGCGCGGAAGAUGUAACGGGGCUAAACCAUGCACCGAAGCUGCGGCAGCGACGCUGAUGCGUUGUUGGGUAGGGGAGCGUUCUGUAAGCCUGCGAAGGUGGCCUGUGAGGGUUGCUGGAGGUAUCAGAAGUGCGAAUGCUGACAUAAGUAACGAUAAAGCGGGUGAAAAGCCCGCUCGCCGGAAGACCAAGGGUUCCUGUCCAACGUUAAUCGGGGCAGGGUGAGUCGACCCCUAAGGCGAGGCCGAAAGGCGUAGUCGAUGGGAAACGGGUUAAUAUUCCCGUACUUGGUGUUACUGCGAAGGGGGGACGGAGAAGGCUAUGUUGGCCGGGCGACGGUUGUCCCGGUUUAAGCGUGUAGGUGUGUGUUCCAGGUAAAUCCGGUUCACUUUAACACUGAGGCGUGAUGACGAGGCACUACGGUGCUGAAGCAACAAAUGCCCUGCUUCCAGGAAAAGCCUCUAAGCAUCAGGUAACAUCAAAUCGUACCCCAAACCGACACAGGUGGUCAGGUAGAGAAUACCAAGGCGCUUGAGAGAACUCGGGUGAAGGAACUAGGCAAAAUGGUGCCGUAACUUCGGGAGAAGGCACGCUGACACGUAGGUGAAGUGAUUUACUCAUGGAGCUGAAGUCAGUCGAAGAUACCAGCUGGCUGCAA
rnacentral:rRNA from 1 species